AUCCAUUUUUUCAAUAAAAUGACGAUUUUACCCUCCUAUUCAAAUAAAACAAAAAGAAAAGAAAAGAAAAAUAAUUAAUUAAUUAUAAUCAUAGUCCUAAAUCUUUCAAAACAUUACAGAUAAAUUCUAAACUUUCCACUACCGCCACUUUCAUAACCCCACCAAGCCACCACCUAUAGAUCCAUAUAACACUACCUUUCGGCCACAAUACCUAUCGGACUCCACCACCACCAGCCUCACCUCACUCUUCC
rnacentral:lncRNA from 1 species